rnacentral:pre_miRNA from 1 species
GUAGUACUCCCUCCGUUCGGAAUUACUUGUCGUAGAAAUGGAUGUAUCUAGAUGUAUUUUAGUUCUAGAUACAUCUAUUUUCGAGACAAGUAAUUCCGAACGGAGGGAGUACUAG